CCGUGCUAGGUGGGGAGUCCGUGGUGCCCUGUACCCCAAAUCCACGUAUGGGGGGCUGAAUCCCCACCCGAGGCUCGAGCCGGAGUAGGGAAGGCGACUCGCACGCAGCGUCGAGGGCCGGGUCCUGCGCAACGAGAUCUCGUGAAUCGAGUCAGGUCCGGAAGGAAGCAGCUCUCAGCGGGCCCUCUCGUGUGCCGCAGGGUCGCCUGGUCUGAGCCGGCGACGGGACCCGCGCCCUGCGACGUCGGGUCGACGGUGGGUGCACGG
rnacentral:SRP_RNA from 1 species